rnacentral:rRNA from 1 species
AUUGAACGCUGGCGGCAGGCCUAACACAUGCAAGUCGAGCGGAUGAAGGGAGCUUGCUCCUGGAUUCAGCGGCGGACGGGUGAGUAAUGCCUAGGAAUCUGCCUGGUAGUGGGGGAUAACGUCCGGAAACGGGCGCUAAUACCGCAUACGUCCUGAGGGGGAAAGUGGGGGAUCUUCGGACCUCACGCUAUCAGAUGAGCCUAGGUCGGAUUAGCUAGUUGGUGGGGUAAAGGCCUACCAAGGCGACGAUCCGUAACUGGUCUGGGAGGAUGAUCAGUCACACUGGAACUGAGACACGGUCCAGACUCCUACGGGAGGCAGCAGUGGGGAAUAUUGGACAAUGGGCGAAAGCCUGAUCCAGCCAUGCCGCGUGUGUGAAGAAGGUCUUCGGAUUGUAAAGCACUUUAAGUUGGGAGGAAGGGCAGUAAGUUAAUACCUUGCUGUUUUGACGUUACCAACAGAAUAAGCACCGGCUAACUUCGUG